AUUUAUUUUUUUUAAACACAAAUCAAAACCAAUCUAUGCUAGGGUCGUACGCCAUCUUUUUCCCCUGCUCUUCGCUGUUCCCACCAAGAGGCCGCGACACGAUCGCGCGCUCGCCGGCGACGGCGAGGGAGCCCUGCCGGAGCGCACCAAGGCGCGCGGACGCCGUCCCUCAACCCUCUCCUCCCCGGGCUACCUACUUUGGAGAAAGCCACCGCGCACGGCGCACUGCCUGGACACGAGCGGCUGUUGCCGGCUAGUCGAUCUCCGGCGACGAGUUCCACGGCCGUACGUACUGAGCGUCUGCUGCUACUAGUCGAUCUCCGGCGACGGAGUUGGUUCUUGGUUGGUUCCCUGCUCUUCGUCCCCUCUCACCGACCGUUCAUCAGGUCCUAACCACUAAGCAGAUUAUGGUAUCUAAACAACAGUCCUCAAGUUGGGCAGAUUUCCAGCCAGAACUACUUGGUCUUGUCCUCAGGCGCCUCCCUUCGCACGCUGACCGUGUUCGAUUAAGAGCAGUCUGCCGCCCAUGGCGCUCCAAUGCUGAGAUGCAGUUUGUUGCUAAAAUGAUUGCAGUACAAUGGUUGCAGUUUUACUACUUUUUCUUUUUUACCUUUUCACAUCAGCAACGUGUAUAUGAUUCGAAAGAAAAAUAGGAGCAUCAAGGCUUGCUGUUCCAAAACACCUGCUCCCUAUUCCGAAAUAUAAGCAUUUAUGUAUGACGGACAAAUAGAAAGAAAAUACUUGUGCUGGGAUUUUGUGGAACUUACAGAAUUUGUAGAACUUGUCGAUUGUAAACCGUAGGAUCGAGCAUUUGUCAGUGAGAAAUUACAGGAUAUAUUUCUCUUUAUUUUCAUA